AGUGAACGCUGGCGGUAGGCCUAACACAUGCAAGUCGAACGGCAGCACAGUAAGAGCUUGCUCUUACGGGUGGCGAGUGGCGGACGGGUGAGGAAUACAUCGGAAUCUACUUUUUCGUGGGGGAUAACGUAGGGAAACUUACGCUAAUACCGCAUUCGACCUACGGGUGAAAGCAGGGGAUCUUCGGACCUUGCGCGAUUGAAUGAGCCGAUGUCGGAUUAGCUAGUUGGCGGGGUAAAGGCCCACCAAGGCGACGAUCCGUAGCUGGUCUGAGAGGAUGAUCAGCCACACUGGAACUGAGACACGGUCCAGACUCCUACGGGAGGCAGCAGUGGGGAAUAUUGGACAAAGGGCGCAAGCCUGAUCCAGCCAUACCGCGUGGGUGAAGAAGGCCUUCGGGUUGUAAAGCCCUUUUGUUGGGAAAGAAAAGCAGCAGGUUAAUACCCCGCUGUUCUGACGGUACCCAAAGAAUAAGCACCGGCUAACUUCGUG
rnacentral:rRNA from 1 species